GCAGAAGUAUUGGUGCCAGGAGGAAGGCUUUAUCAUUCAUACUGAUUACUGGAGAGCGUAUGACUGCCUUCCUCAACAUGGGUAUGUCCAUAAAAAGGUCAAUCAUAGUGACCCGGAGAACAGAUUUGUGGCACCUGAUGGGACAGACACUCAAAGAAUUAAAAGCCAAUGUAGAGGGUUGAAGAAAAUAUUUAGAGAGAAGCAACAUAAACAUGAUUUUACGGAUUGGUUAAUGGAGUCACUUUGGAGUCGAAGGGUCUAUACACAACACUAAGAUCUGUUUGAGGAAUUAAUCAAAACAAUAAAAUAUAUUCAUAAAGUAGAUACGUAGUUUAUUUUAGUUUUAAGUAGUUGUAAUUAGUUAUAUUUUAGUUUUAAGUAGUUGUAAUUAGUUUUAAUUUAGUGUUAAGUGAAUUUGGAAUAAAUAAAUCUUUUUUUGCUUCUAUAUGUCCACGGCAUCAACCAUCAGUCACACAGCCUCCUCCGUUCCAGCACAAUGUUCAUAUUCCACCGCAGCAGAAUCAGUUUCAUCCGUGUCGCGAUGGAAAUCACGUUCUGGUUCCAGUCUUCAGACGAGCUAAUGAAUCUGUUCCUGCUUCAGAAAUCCCGCAUCAGCCAACUGAGAAUUUUAAGGAAGAACAUGAAGAGGAAGAUCAGGAAGAACCUGUAAUGCAACAAAUGCUAAGAUAUGCCAGUGCCAUUGAUAGCGAGACUGAUUCCAUAUCUCAGAAUCUGAAUAAUGUAUUACAUAAUGCACUGGAAUUGAGAAGUCUACAAUCAGAUUUGCGAAACUUGUAUUUGAAAUUAAUCGGACUACUCCAUACCAGGCGACAACACUGAUCUUCAAGUUCAUUACUAUUUUAAUAACUCUGCUUUUUAGUAUUAAUAAGACGCCACGUGAUAUUUGAAGAGCCUCAUAAUUAAGAAUUUUUCGUAGAAUAUGUUAAGCUUUGUUUACAGUAUCUUUUUUUAUUAAAUUUAAUUUGUUACAUAAGCUCUAAAGUAAAUUUUAGUCUGUAAUUAGUAUAUCUCUUGUGUCUGAAUCUCAGAAUUAUUUAAAUAUAUACAGACUUUUAUAUCAAAUAUUGAAUUGACAUUUGUUUGUUAUCUAUUCUUUGUGAUCUCAGCCAAUUAGAAUCGAAAACACAUUAGUAGGGCAUCUGGAUCAUAAAUAAGUAUCGCCGAAAUUCUUUGGGCUCAAAGGAAUUCAAGUUAUAUGUUAAAAUGUACAUAACAAUAAGCGGCUUCCUUUGUUCGGUAGUAGACAAGCAAUUAAUAACUACUGACAACAAUAUUUGAUAAAAUGAAUCAUAGAUGACUUUACGCAGAAAUGUGUGUUAUUAGUUCAGUUGCUAUUUCCCAAAAUGGCAUAAGUAUAAACAUAACAAAGGUCAACGACACGAAAUUUAAUAACAAUAUACACUGGACUACACGUAAUCGUUAUCUCAUUAACUUGAAAAAUAACGCAAGAAGUUAUUGGUAGCCAUCCCCUCCACCUACUUCCAACAAUUAUUAUUGCCUAUUUAUUAUCAGUAUACCUUACGCGCGCAAACGCAGUAAACACAUUUUUAAUGUCUUUGAUUUUUGGUAUCUGCUAUAUUUUAAUUUCGAGAAGAAAAUACCAGCACCAGAGUAAGUUUCACAAUUAAAUCUUUAGAUAAGUUUAUUGUCAUAAGGGUACCAAUUUUUUUUCCAGAUGGCAAACACAAAAUCGAGAAAGCGAUUUUCUGUUAUUAAGUUUCGAACUUUUCCAUCGAAAGGCCUUGAUGAUUACGUCUGUGUGCCAAACAAAUGGAAACUAAAAGAUGACUAUGUAAUUGUGGUAUACCCAGAAAACGAAGAUCUUAAUGUUUCAAACCAUCGUGUUAAGUCACGAAAACAACCAAAAAGUAAUUGGAGAUUGUAUGCUGCUGAAAUAAAAUAUGAAUUAGAUUUUUUCGACGUUGCACAGCAAUUUAUGUACAUAUACUAUUUUUUUUUUUUUAUUUGUAUGUAAUGGAAAAUUAUACAGAGAACAAGGAAAUUCAAGCAUAAAUGGUAAGGACACAAGCUCAAAACUAUUUUCAAAUAACAGUAGUCCAAAAUUAAUCAUAGUCAUAUUGUACCAACCUCAAAUUGCUGCAUAGUUUCGUCAUAGUUCUUUUGAUAACAAUAUUGUACAGAGAAUUUAUUUUAAAUAAUAUACAUUUGUAGAUACUUUAGGUAAUUUCUGUUGGCGUACGUGACUCAAAAGUAAUAACCCGUUAAACAAAAAACGACAUAAAAUAAUAAUUAUAGGCAAUAUGUUUUUAAAUAAGGACAUAAAAUGUUAAUUAUAAGCAAUGUGGUUUUGUGGUUUUAUAUAUAAUUUACUGGUGUAAAAAGGCACGCAUGAAUACGUCACAAUGUAUGACGUGUAACUGUCAGCGCCAUCGUUUGGCUUGGAAACAAAAAUACUCAUGCAUUUAUCCCCACUCCUCGGAGCACUAUAUAAAACUCACGCUGACAAAUUUGAGUAUUGUUUCGAGCUCGCGCCUGCAACCCCUGCCACAUCGGACUGACCACACCACGGACCGACGCCACCCUGACACCGGUUGACGAUCGCUGGCUGGGCCUCCCCCAAUGGGGUCCCACCCGGCUGGCUUGAUCUCGCCGGUGUGAGAAGAACACGGACAUGACCAUCGGGGCCUCACCCGAGGCCCCACCCCGAUGACCCAGCCAUAUUCAUGGUUGGCGGAUUGACACCGCUGCAGGGGGCCAACGCCCCGAACAACAUCGAAGCAGUGGACGUCUCCCCAGUCAGCAGUGGGCGGCCGCUGUCGUGUGGACUAACAGAAAAUAUAAUUGAAAUAAUAAAUUCCAAUUUUGAUAAAAGUUCCAGAAUGUCCGAAGAAAUAGUGAGAAAGACUGUUAAACGUUCAAUAAAAACAGAAGAUCGGGGGUGUCAAACAGAUGCACCUGUUGGAAAGAAAAAACGACCAACAGAAACAAGAUUUGAGAUGCCACCGGAAACACUGCAGCUUCUUGAGACUUUACGAAAUCAAUUAGAUACAGCACAAUAUUGGUGCUCUCUUCUGCAUGAUAGUCUGCAGGAGGCGUUAUACGAAUUUCCCUCGUGUUUGGUUUGGUUUUUGGAAAAUAUGGGAGGGAUUCAACAGGUCGGAAAAUAUAGCUCGGCAAGAGUCAGUUUCAAGAAAUGUGGAACAAGUAGUACCACUAAAUGAUGAAGAAAGAGAAAUUGCCGGAACUGAGAAUACAAAUUUGAACAGUGAGUGAAAUAUAAAUUUUAAAUAUAGAAAGUGACAAAAAUAAACCAAAAAAAGGGCCAUAAAAAACUAUAGAUAUAAACCGAUAUUUUUCAAGCAGAUAUGGGCCAAUUGCCAGGUCAAUCAUACGGAUAUUAUACCAGCCCCUAUUCAACGAACUUAACCAACUCUACCUCGCGACAAAGCAAUUACAGCGAUACGCCAAGUCCUGCACAAACUGCACAUACAUCAGCACCAGAACCUCAAAGAGAAGCUGAGGACUCUCGAAACGACAUUUCUGAGUUAUUACGUUACGUUGAAGAUGGAGACGAAUAAUUAAGAAAAAAA